CCUACGGGAGGCAGCAGUGGGGAAUAUUGCACAAUGGGGGAAACCCUGAUGCAGCGACGCCGCGUGAGUGAAGAAGUAUUUCGGUAUGUAAAGCUCUAUCAGCAGGGAAGAAAAUGACGGUACCUGACUAAGAAGCCCCGGCUAACUACGUGCCAGCAGCCGCGGUAAUACGUAGGGGGCAAGCGUUAUCCGGAUUUACUGGGUGUAAAGGGAGCGUAGACGGCAGCAGAAGUCUGGAGUGAAAUGCCGGGGCUUAACCCCGGAACUGCUUUGGAAACUGUGAGGCUAGAGUGCAGGAGAGGUAAGCGGAAUUCCUGGUGGAGCGGUGAAAUGCGUAGAUAUUAGGAGGAACACCAGUGGCGAAGGCGGCUUACUGGACUGUAACUGACGUUGAGGCUCGAAAGCGUGGGGAGCAAACAGGAUUAGAUACCCCUGUAGUC
rnacentral:rRNA from 1 species